ACUUUCUCCAUCUACCAAGAUGAGGGAGUGAGUGGGAGGCGGGAAGACUGCCCCAAAUGAUCUCUAACAUCCCUUGCAGUAUCCAUCUUCCUCUUCCUCUUC
rnacentral:miRNA from 1 species